ensembl:lncRNA
CCAGGUAUCAGAGGAAGAUUAUGAAGGUGUGCACCCCGUGAAAAAAAAUUGAGACUUUGCAUCAUCUCUGUUGCAGCACUGUUAUUGUUAAUAUUGCUUCUGAAAAGUAGUGAUGCAUAUAGCCAGAAUCCCCUCCACAGAAGGCUAGUGAUGAAAGGGGGUGAGGGAAGUUAGCUGAUAUCUCCAAAAGUCCAAUCAUAUUUGCAUCAAUAUUCAUGCUGUUUGUACACUAUCACAAGACGCCCAGCAAAACUGCACACUUUUAUCUCUGGAAGUCAUAUCCAACUCAGAUCCCAGGAGAGGGGUGAGAUUUGCAGAUAUCUGUGAGAAGCCAGCAUUGUGCAGGACUUUUUACCAAGAUAUAAAUGAACAAACAAGCAAACACCUUUAGCUCUCAAGGGGCUUUGUAGAAGUACACUCUGAAAAAGUAUGAAAGCAGAGUAACUCUAGGUUUAGCUACUUUCUUAAGUGCAGUAACCCAAAACUAUUUAAACACACGUCAUGCCAGGAUUUAAGAAGAAUAUUGACCUCCAUGCAGGUAGUCCUAUGCUACUGAGAAAAUUAUGAAAUAACAAAAGAUCAGUCACAAAAAUGAUAGGAUGAAAAAAUGAAUUCAUCAUUUCCUUCUUCUCUCCAAACAGAUGAGAUAAAAUACCUCCUCAAAUAUAGAAGAAUCCAGGAAAAGGUAAAAGUCAGACAUUGUAAGGUCAAUGGGUCAUCUGGUCAAGUCCUGCUUGAAAGCAACUGCUGCAAAGGCAUGAAGAAAGGUUUCACAAUGAGAAAAAUACGCAGUCUAUGUUUUCUCCAUUGCUGAAGACUCAUCUAAUGAUCCAGCCAGCCCAGUUUGCUGCCAGAGGACCUGUCCUGCUCAUCUUGUCAGAUGCCAUGAGAAGAUACCCUCAUCAGGGAGGGUCCUGUCUAGCCUGCUCUGCCCUCACCCCUGGCUCCUGGCAUACAAACAUGCAUACACUUCUGUGCAAAGUUACAAAGUUACAUUUUUGAGCUGUUCUUCAUUUCAUUUUCUACCAUCUUGUGUUGCCACUCAAGAUAUCAGUGACUGUGGAACAUUGACUUACCUGUGCUUACUUUCUAACUGUGGACACCUUCAUUUUUAAAUGCCAUGGGAAAUAACAUGAAAGGGAAAAAAAAAAAAAUGUACUCUUGGCCCUGUUUAAAAUGAAACUGCAGUGGUGUUUUCACUAGCGAGCAAAUUGGGAAAAUAGCUGCUCAAGAAACUGAGACUGCACCAAAUAAAUUUGUGCUCUGAAGAUCCUGAAUAAUUCAGUUCCAAUGAGCAGCUUAAUUCUGUUAUCCAUAUGAAACUGCUUGAUAUAAGCAACUUGAAAAACUGAAGUAUAUUUUUAAAAAAAAUGCACCAAAACAGAGAAACACAAAAUUGCACUGUAGAUAGCCACACUUCCAGACCAGAUCCAGGUUUAGGGUAUAAUACUUUGCCACAUCUUAAAAAUAGACAAAAGUAAAAAUUAUGAGUAAGAAAAACUGCUACAAAGAAGUCAUGCUGCAUGUACAGAAACCAGAAAGUCUUGAAGGCCUGGAAUAAGAUAACCAAAUAUAUUUAGGUCAAGAACUACAUAACCUUCAUGGUAAACUGAUAUUAUUUCAGUCUGACAAAACACAGAUUAUCAUGAUCUGUCGAUUUUUUUUGAUUUCUUUGGAUUACAAGGAUCAGAAUUAAUAAGUUACAAUAAGUCUUACAGCACCAAGCACAUGUGGUCUGUUCUGAUGAUAGUCAUAGUUUUUUUUAGAAAUUAAAAUAGGCUGAUUAAAGGGAAAAAAUUGAGUUAACUUUGCUGAGUAGUGCAAGGUUGCUACAGAAACAUAAGCCAUGCUGCAGGCAUGCAGAAAAUUGCAGUUGCAGCCAUGGGCCGCAACUGCAAUUUUUACCUUAUCACCUCCUUAGCUGAAGAAACACAGCAGAGGAGAUAGAGCAUUUCAGCAGUGCGUGCUGCUGCAAUAAAAGGCACAAAAUAUUCUGAUUAAGCUGUUCUGAUGCAAGUACCAAACUGGCUUCUGUGCGUUAAAGGGUGAAUACAGCCUGACCUAGAUGCCAGUGUCAGGACCAGUGGGAAUUACUCGCAGGAUUAUCUGUGAUGUUUACCUGCCAGCUCAACAAAGCCAAGUCAGGUCAGGUUUAGCUAAGUUGCAAUCAUCACACUGGCAAUAGUUUUCAUGUCUUUACUAAGGAUAUCUGCAGGGGCCUUAAUCAUGUUAAAGUAAGCACUCUGUCUUGACACCUCCUAAUUCAUUACAGCUCACAUAAUUAUUUGGAGAACAAAAUAAUUAACAUCAACAUAUAUUCUCAGCUGACUGAUACUCUCCUGAUUUCAUGUGUAGCUGAAAACAAGGACUGGAGCUAAGAUAUGUAUACAGGUACUGGUAGAAUGAACUACGGCAAAUUUCUUAUUUUUUUGGGUCUUUUUUAAUACAAAUAUCUUGAUAGUAAAAGGCAUGUGCAAGAUACAGUAAAUAAAUAAAUGCCUAACAAAG